UUGGUUUAUGGGAAAGGAGACCAAGCCCC
rnacentral:piRNA from 1 species